UUUUUCUUUUUUUUUUUUCUUAGCUCUUCGUCUGCAUGAUUCUCAUCAAACGAAGAUAGAUGGGAAAUCCAAAAGGGAGGAAUGGGUCAGAUCGGUGCUUGAUCUCUGCCUUCACCGCUGCCUGUCUUCCUCUCCACCGUUGCUUGAUCUCUUCCUCACUGCCAACGACAUGCGGCGGAAAUGGAGGAGCGGAGAAGAGAAAAGGGCAAAGUUUAUUGGUGA